rnacentral:rRNA from 1 species
UACGGAGGGUGCAAGCGUUAUCCGGAUUCACUGGGUUUAAAGGGUGCGUAGGUGGGCCUGUAAGUCAGUGGUGAAAUCUUCAAGCUUAACUUGGAAACUGCCAUUGAUACUAUAGGUCUUGAAUUAUCUGGAGGUAAGCGGAAUAUGUCAUGUAGCGGUGAAAUGCUUAGAGAUGACAUAGAACACCCAUUGCGAAGGCAGCUUACUACGGAUUGAUUGACACUGAGGCACGAAAGCGUGGGGAUCAAACAGGG